UGCGCAGGCGGUUAUGUAAGACAGUUGUGAAAUCCCCGGGCUCAACCUGGGAAUUGCAUCUGUGACUGCAUAGCUAGAGUACGGUAGAGGGGGAUGGAAUUCCGCGUGUAGCAGUGAAAUGCGUAGAUAUGCGGAGGAACACCGAUGGCGAAGGCAAUCCCCUGGACCUGUACUGACGCUCAUGCACGAAAGCGUGGGGAGCAAACAGGAUUAGAUACCCUGGUAGUCCACGCCCUAAACGAUGUCAACUGGUUGUUGGGUGCAUUAGUACUCAGUAACGAAGCUAACGCGUGAAGUUGACCGCCUGGGGAGUACGGCCGCAAGGUUGAA
rnacentral:rRNA from 2 species